rnacentral:rRNA from 1 species
GACGAACGCUGGCGGCGUGCUUAACACAUGCAAGUCGAACGGAAAGGCCCUGCUUUUGUGGGGUGCUCGAGUGGCGAGCGGGGGAGUAACACGUGAGUAACCUGCCCUUGUCUUUGGGAUAACUUCAGGAGACUGGGGCUCAUACCGGAUAGGAGCUCCUGCUGCAUGGUGGGGGUUGGAAAGUUUCGGCGGUUGGGGCUGGACUCGCGGCUUAUCAGCUUGUUGGGGGGGUAGUGGAUUACCAAGGCUUUGACGGGUAGCCUGCAUGAGAGGGGAACCGGGCACAAUGGGACUGAGAUACGGAGCAGUAGGCUACGGUACGCAGUAGGGGGGAAUAUUGCGGAACGGGCGGAAGCCUGAUGCAGCAACGUCGCGAGCGGGAUGACGGCUUUUGGGGGGUAAACCGAUGUCGCCUGUGACGAAGCGUGAGUGACGGUAAUGGGUAAAGAAGCAACGGCUAACUACGUG